rnacentral:lncRNA from 1 species
AGGCAUCUGAGUGCUGGAUUUGCAAAAAGCAUCACGGAAAGAUCAAGCACAUUGUCACACUUUUCGAUGAUAAAAUUAAGCAUGCAUGAUAAUAGAUGGAGGAGAGUACAGAUGGGAUCCAUGCUUACACUGAGAGACAUAGGGUGCGCAAGUAUGGUCCAUCUAAAUUUUGAGCUGUGCACAGCUGUAUGUCUGAUGUGUUUUACUUCUCGAUUUCUCAUCAAUGAAAUCUGAAAUAUUGCUAUAUGAUGGUCUGGUGCUUGGUCCACUUUGUUGAUUUUUCUGCCUGCAUGAUUUGGAGCUACGCAAUAUGAAUUGUUACUUUGUCGCAAAUGCAGUAAUUUUACUUCUUGAUUGUUCCAGUGAUCCUGAUUUGUAUAGUGCAAAAUGUGUAUUCAUAUUAUUUUUUGCCAAAAUUGGAUAGCAGAUGUUUCCAAGGGGCCGUGUCCAGCGCUACCCUCCUGGACGCAACAUGCCUGAUAUUCCAAUACCAGGUGUUGUUGGAGGGAUGCUAUCUCCCUAUGACAUGGGAGGUUUGCCCAUGCGAGAUGCUCCUAUGUCACAACCUAUUCCCAUUGGGGCAUUGGCUUCAGCCCUUGCAAAUGCUACUCCUGAGCAGCAAAGGA